rnacentral:rRNA from 1 species
UACGUAGGGACCAAGCGUUGUUCGGAUUUACUGGGCGUAAAGGGCGCGUAGGCGGCUUGACAAGUCACUUGUGAAAUCUCCGGGCUUAACUCGGAACGGCCAAGUGAAACUGUCAUGCUAGAGUGCAGAAGGGGCAAUCGGAAUUCCAGGUGUAGCGGUGAAAUGCGUAGAUAUCAGGAGGAACACCAGUGGCGAAAGCGGCCACCUGGACUGCACCUGACGCUGACACGCGAAAGCUAGGGGAGCGAACGGG